rnacentral:snRNA from 1 species
GACCAUUGGAGCAUCGUGCCU